AUACGAAGGGGGCAAGCGUUGUUCGGAAUAACUGGGCGUAAAGCGCACGUAGGCGGAAUGUUAAGUUAGAGGUGAAAUCCCAGGGCUCAACCCUGGAACUGCCUUUAAUACUGGCAAUCUAGAGACCGAGAGAGGUGAGUGGAAUUCCGAGUGUAGAGGUGAAAUUCGUAGAUAUUCGGAGAAACACCAGUGGCGAAGGCGGCUCACUGGCUCGGUACUGACGCUGAGGUGCGAAAGCGUGGGGAGCAAACAGGAUUAGAAACCCUAGUAGUCC
rnacentral:rRNA from 1 species